AUAUAAUCGCGUGAUAUUCAUCCAUAAGAUUUUGUGGUGCUCAAGACUGAGCAUACUGUCGUCCAAUGGAAGAAAGAUCGACCGAAAGUUGAAGGCGUAAUUGCAGGAGCAAUUUAAAAAAUAUCUCAUGCUGUUAUCCUCAAGUAUAUAUACAUAUAUGUUUGAAUAAUGUGUAUAUAUUUAAAUCAUCGACACUAAUGUAACUCAUUCGAAUAUUAAUGAACUGUAUAACUUUAUUGACCCGCUCUCUGGCUGCGCAAUAAAUAAAUAGAGCCAACUACCUGGAUUUUACGAUCCAUAUAUGGGAGAAGAUAAGCAGCUCUUGGUACAAUAUCUGUUUCAUACUCAAACGCAUGAAUGUAUUAUACGUAAUGAUGCACCCCUCAGGAUACCAAUCUCGUCACAUAAAGUGGAUACCACUUGACAAAUGCGUUCAACAUCAAAAUCAAAACGCAGUCAUCGCCUUCGUCAAUGAUCGGCAUUACUUCAGAGUGUAGAGCUUUUGUUCAAAAAAAAUUCACACAUAUAUG